UAACUUUGUAUGUUGGUUUAGGUUUUUCUUUUUUUUUUCUCAUCAGAGGAAAGCUCAAGAAACUAGACCUGAAGGAGAUAACCUUUCGCAGGUGGAGGAAUGGUGACUUUCUGGAGAGGAUGAUAAAUGUUGGAACUUUUGCCAGGUGCUUCGUGUCUCCCAGGCUCAUUUCUUGUGGAAGCAGAGCGGCAGGCUCUCAGAGUGCCACAGGCACCAGGACUGGAGUCUCACAUGGUGCUCCAGGACAUCAGCAUCACACAAACUCUGCACCUCUGACAGCGACAGCCCUGAACUAGCAAAACCAGCGUGUCCUCAGCUUCUGGGGGUGCUUUCUGUGAAGGUGUGGGCUUUCUCACUGUAAACAUUUUUCUGAGCAGCAAUACUAAGAACGGGGAAUCCUCUGUAUGUGAAGCACAACCUCCGAUUAGAAGCUAAAUUCAUAUUUUGCUAUCCACUACUUUAAUUCUCUCUUUUUCCUCUAGAGUUGCUCUUCGCAAAUCUUUUCCCCGCCUGGGAAGUGGUGCUGCAGAUCCCCGGCUCCUUGCAGUCACACCAUUCAAUUUGUUUGGAAGUACAAGCUGCAGUUUUACAAACAGUUACCGUUCGGUUGUAUCUGGGGACGUUAUCACUGGGACAAGUGAAAGGUCUGUUCUUUAUCUGAAGAUAAAUUUUAGCUAGCAGUUUUUACUCCCUUGUUGCAAAGAAUUAAGGCACUAGAACUUUGUAAACUGAAGGGCUCAGAGAUUGUUUGAGAAAACCCUUGAGCACUGUUUGUUUCCCAGACCUCCUUCUCUGCAACAGGCGAGCCAAGGAGACUGAAAGAGUUUUGAAGUGGCCUAAAUCGGACCGAGGCAGGCAUUUGCUUAUCAAAGAGGGAAUUUUGCAAUACUAUGGUCUCUCUCCCAACAACGCCCGCUGCUAAGGUACACAUGAAAGGCAGGUAGGGUCUGCGCCCAGAGCCUUGAAGGAAAAGGUGAAUGUCCAUUUUGCAUAUCCCAUUUGUGUGCUAAAUGGCAGCGGUAUCUUAAAUAGGGCUACAGUGGCAAUUAAAAUAAUGAGAUACAUAAAAGACACCUGCUUUAAAUAAAUACAGUAAUCUGCCCAAAGCUCCUGAAUGGACUGGUAUUCAGCAAGAGCCCUGAACCUGCAUACAUACCUAUGCUUAACAACAUAAUCAUUAAAGAACAGAAACCUUUCCUUCUAAUCCCCCUCAUACAGGACAACAUGUGGAUGUUAGCAUAUUUGGACUGCUUUGCAUUCCUUCUUGCCUGCUUUUGAGAACAUACUACAUUUUAAAACUUGUUGGGUUCUUUCAUGUUUUAUUUGACCCUAUGUAAUUGCAUUCCUGAAGGAAUAACAGGCUCCCACAGUGAUUUAUACCCUGUAUUAAAUGUCAGUUUUGAAGAGACACAGUUAGCAGUUUGGUUUAACCUCCUGCCUUCCUAUGUAAGUUCAAAACUGAAGUGGAGCUCGGGAUCCAAGGGGAAAAGUAAAAAGAUGAAAAUGGACUUAGAGGCAGUGCGGAAUGAGGCGUAUGUGUUCCUGGCCCCUCACCUUUAGCCACCAGAACGAGAUUUCAGAAAGCCAUCUCUAUUUUUAACUGUAAUUUGUGUACUUCCCCGCUGCCCUUGACCAGUUGUGAAGGCUGUAAAUUAGGGCGAAGCGCUCUGCUUUCUCCGGGCAGACGACUGCAGAGGCUCCAACAAUGGGGCCGGAAUAUUUGUGCUGCAAAAUCAACCAAAUCAACCCAGUGGGGUUGGCCUGUGUCCCAAUAAGAAGGUCAGCAAAAUAAAUUGUCCUUGUAAUUAAGACUUGCUCCUUUGUUUUUGUGUGUGUAACUGUGCGUAAAUAGCAAAGCGGGCUAGGUAUGUUAUUACUGUUUUAAAUAUUUCAUUCCCUUUGUAGAUUUCCCUACGACACAGUUAACAACUGCUUAAUCACAUGUUAUGACCUAAUUAUGGGGGAUUCAGCUAAAUAAAUCUUGAUGUAAUGCUAUAUUCUUGAUGUAAUGGCACUCUGACGGCCGCUUUUAUGCAUUUAAAUGUAAAAGUAAAUGCAGUUCGGAUCUGACACAUGACUUAAAUGGUAAUCGUUGGUAGAGUCACAGCUGAAACAAGUAUCAGGGGGAGUUCUUUAAACACUAGCACUGUACAUACACACCUAAUUCCUAUGCCCAGGAAAUAAACAUUCUGGUGAUCACUUUUUUAACAUGCAGCUGUAAUGGUUCAUUUCUCAGACAGGAGAUUUAGCUGCAGCUGCUCCGAGGAGGAUCCUGUUUUCACACUGAAAGCAAUAGAUUUGACCCAUCAAAGCUACUAGCCCAGACUAGUUUUCCCUAAAAUAUCUUUUGCAUAAACAAAUGAAUGCAAAAGUUUUGUGGGGUCAACCCAGGGAACCAUUCGUAGUUGUUCUGAGGCAGGCAAAUGACCAGUUUUUCCACUGAAGUAAUUCAGGGCAUUUCCAUUGCCUUCUGCGAAGCCUCACGUGUCCAUCAGGUGAAUGAUGAGUACAGAACAGAACUGGCCUGCUGUUUGCCAGGCUGGAAGGCUGACAACGAUCUUCUAUUCUGAAGUGAAAAAUGUAGGCGAUAACGUUUUCUUUGGCUUGGGUUUAUCUCGCCCAAGACAGGUGGCUUGAAGCGGUGGAAUAAGUUGCCCUCUGGCAAUGCGUGUCACCGUUGACUGUUCGGGGAGCUAAUACGGCUAACUUAGACCUGAUGCUUGUCUUUCAGAUGGAUAGAGUUAGGUAAGAUGAAUCCUACCGUAUGCACGGUAUUGUGUAUCAGCUUCCCCUGACUCCUAGAUGUGCCGCCAGAUUGCUCCGUGUGCUUGUGCCUUGGUGGGAGACACGCUGGGACAGGUCCUUUGGCAGCCAAAAUACAUCCAGCGGACAACAGGUAAAGGGGUACGGACCUAGGGGUGCAAUUAAUAGCUCAGGAACGUAGCGUGAGAUUUGCCUUUCGUGAGAUCUGCUUUAGGUGGCAAAAUGGUAGGUACCCAUCCCUGCAAUUCUCACGUUUCGUUAUCAGUGGAAGGAAAUAGUUCUGUUUAAUGCUGACAGUGCUAUCAGUCCAAAGUCAAAGGAGCAGGUCCUGAGCAAAAAUGCAUUUGCUUCACAGCCAUGAGACCCCCUUCCCCUACGCUUGCUAGGAUCACCUACGGUAGCUGUCCAACUUCAGGACCAGGAAUAUCCUGUCUUAAACUGAUCAGCAUUUCCUCUCUGGUCUUUAUUUGCUGUCCGUGCUGCCUAGCCAGGGUGGCAGCUUCCACGAGCAGAGCAUUGUCCAUUCACGCAUGAACUGAGCACGGAGUUCAGCUGUCCCUCUUACAGAGUGGGAAAACGUGAAGGUGAACUUGAGUUAAGGCCCUCAGUCUGGCUCUCUGGUUUAAACGGCCCCAUGCACAUUGUGGUGUGGCUGCUUGGUUAUCAUCUGACUUGGGUGGUGACGAUGGACAGGUUGUAGCCCAGGGUAUAACCUUCUUAGCCUCUGAUUCAAAAAGCAGGUUAAACAAUGGCAAACAAAGAAUCUUAAACCAGUGUGAGGAGAGAAAUAGCAAUUCCUGGGCAGCAUUGAUGUAUCAGUGUGAUUUGAUUUAAUUGCACCUUCAGCCACUGCUUGGUCUCAGUAGUAACAAUUAGGAAUUAGAGAACGGGGUGAGGAGUAUCUCCUGGGUUUCUCAAAGAUUUCUGAAAAUAUUAUUCGUAUUUUCCAACCCUUCAAGACUCUAAAAGCUAAAACAACACCAGCAGAGGGAGACAAACCCUGUUACCAGACUAGCCUGGUGUAGCAAGACCUGAAGGAAUCACUGCUUCUUUAUAGGAACCUGACCUGGAAACCUGAAGGAGGAACUCUUGUGAGGUGUUGUGCGCCAUUAAGUCUGCACAUGGGUAGUAGCAUGAAGUAAGGAUAGAAGAAGUCCUCUUAAAAAUAAUAAAAAAUCCUUUGGUACCAUACUGGAUGUUUCAUUGGCCAGAAAUGUUUCCCUUAUUUUGGUUGGGUUGCAUGUGUGUGCGCACACGUUACUUUUCAACUAGAAAAGUGCAGUUACGUUACCUGGAUCUCAGAUGAAAAAUCAGAACGUUUAAAUAAGAUUUUCCCCAAUAUUCUUGCAUUUUACUGAUUUUUUUUUUCCUUUUUGUGGAUGGAAAACUGUAACUGACUUGACCCAAGUAAACAUUUUGGACUUGAUCACACCAGAAGUGUGUUUUCUGUGGGAUAGUUGUUUGAAAUGUUUUAAUCAGACUGAAGUGUGAUGGUUGUGGUUUUUGUGAAGUAAGAAAGCUACCCGGACUUCCACAGAUGCUGGAUUGUGGAGUCCUAUACUGCUAAUGCUUCUAGGUGAAGCCUGCAGCAUCCUUUUGUUCUCGGUGCAUGGGAGGAGUGACGCAUCGACUCAGCCUUUUACUCAAAGUCUGUGUAAAUAGUAAAGCCAGCAGGAGCACCAGACUGCAUGCUUUGGCUAACUUGAAUUGCGUGUGCAAACAUCUGAUCCAGAUUCCUCGUUAAUAGACAUGGAAACAUGGCCUCACGGUAUAGCCAAAUUGUUCAGCUCGCAGAACAAUGAACCUAUAAACGUGGGACAGCAUAAAAUUUUAUAGAAAGAGAGGGAGGGCCAAGAGCAUCUUAAAGCAGGGUGCGCUGAUGGGUCUUGAAAAAGAAGUUCAAGAAGAUCUGUUAAAAGAUUACCGGGACCGGUCUUCCUUUGGCUGUCUGAUCCAAUGGCAAAGGCUCGCUUAUCUUCCAGAAGCCAGAGCCGAGAGGAUGCCCGAGCGCUUCCUCUAAGCAAAGUGAAGGAGGCCAGGGACAAUAUUGUGCCUGAAGAUGAGAGGAUGCUGUAGAUUUCUGCAUUUGAUCUGCUGAAUUUCCACCUGAAUUUUGAUCCCACGGAUCAGGCUGAAGCUUUCCUUACUCCUGCAGAGGCUGCCCCCAGCAUCAGCAGACCCACCUGAGCCAUCAGCCAUAACCCAGUGGGGAAAGCGAUCCUGUGCCACCUUGCCAGGCACGUCGUGAAGGGGUCUGGCGUUGCAAACCCUUCUGCCCAAGUGGGUGAGCAGCCCCUUGUGCCCAAGGUCCCAUCACACACAAGAGAGAGUGAGGCAAGGGAUGUCCUCAGAUGUGCUGCCUUCCUGCAGUUUCUCUUCCUCCUUCUUCAAAU